rnacentral:rRNA from 1 species
CACCGCCCGUCACACCACGAAAGUUGAUCGCACCAGAAGACAUUGUACCAACCUUCGGGAGGAAGAUGUCCAAGGGUGAGAUCGAUGAUUGGGGUG